rnacentral:pre_miRNA from 1 species
UUUUCAGUAUAAGUAUAUCCCAUGCAAUAUUUGGGACAUACUUAUACUAAAG